GAAUCCGUUGUCAGUAAAGAAAAUGUUGGCUCAGAUGUUAUGUGCACAACCUGUGUGAGAUGGUUGUUGUGUGGAUAGAGAAUCAGUUCCAUGAAAACAAAUAAAGGAGCGGAUAUUGCAAUAGGUUAACCAGCUGUGUGAGCGUUUACGGAGCGCGAACGGGGAGUCAACAGUCAGCUGCUGUCAGAUCUCAAAAAUGCGGGUUCGUUUUUCGUUGCUUACAGCGAGAGCGGUCGUGGUGGACAUGAACGACCACCACGGAUCCCUCGCCCCAAGUCAUGAUCCAGUUGUUGAAUGUUCACAAGAAAAUUUAUGUGGAUUGGAGAUUGACUGAUUGUUUGGUUGUCCGCAGAUUCAAAGAUGAAGUACAUAGUAAAGGUAGGGGCAAGGGGCAUCAGACGUGCUAAUUUUUCUGAACUCUACAAUGGAACCUGUGUUUCUGAAUUUCUGUCAAAGUGUCAACUCUGGAUCAUACAUAGUAGUGCUUUUUUGAUAGUAGGUGGUCUGAAUUUCUGUCAAUGGUCUGAAUUUCUCAAAGUGACUACUCUGGAUCGUACAUAGUAGUGCUCUUUUGAUAAUUGAUAGUAGGUGGCCGAAGUGUCAAACGCUGGAACAAGCACGAUCCAGAGUUUUGAGUUUUGAGUUUGCCCCACCUUAAGUUUUUUCCAUCCUCCACCACGACCGGACGCCCUCUCCAUCUA